GGGUUGUGAGGUUAAGCGACUAAGCGUACACGGUGGAUGCCCUGGCAGUCAGAGGCGAUGAAGGACGUGCUAAUCUGCGAAAAGCGUCGGUAAGGUGAUAUGAACCGUUAUAGCCGGCGAUGUCCGAAUGGGGAAACCCAGUGUGAUUCGUCACACUAUCGUUAACUGAAUACAUAGGUUAACGAGGCGAACCGGGGGAACUGAAACAUCUAAGUACCCCGAGGAAAAGAAAUCAACCGAGAUUCCCCCAGUAGCGGCGAGCGAACGGGGAGCAGCCCAGAGUCUGAAUCAGCUUGUGUGUUAGUGGAACGGUCUGGAAAGUCCGACGGUACAGGGUGAUAGUCCCGUACACCAAAAUGCACAGGCUGUGAACUCGAAGAGUAGGGCGGGACACGUGGUAUCCUGUCUGAAUAUGGGGGGACCAUCCUCCAAGGCUAAAUACUCCUGACUGACCGAUAGUGAACCAGUACCGUGAGGGAAAGGCGAAAAGAACCCCGGCGAGGGGAGUGAAAAAGAACCUGAAACCGUGUACGUACAAGCAGUGGGAGCACCUUCGGGUGUGACUGCGUACCUUUUGUAUAAUGGGUCAGCGACUUAUAUUCUGUAGCAAGGUUAACCGUAUAGGGGAGCCGCAGGGAAACCGAGUCUUAACUGGGCGUUAAGUUGCAGGGUAUAGACCCGAAACCCGGUGAUCUAGCCAUGGGCAGGUUGAAGGUUGGGUAACACUAACUGGAGGACCGAACCGACUAAUGUUGAAAAAUUAGCGGAUGACUUGUGGCUGGGGGUGAAAGGCCAAUCAAACCGGGAGAUAGCUGGUUCUCCCCGAAAGCUAUUUAGGUAGCGCCUCGUGAAUUCAUCUUCGGGGGUAGAGCACUGUUUCGGCUAGGGGGUCAUCCCGACUUACCAACCCGAUGCAAACUACGAAUACCGAAGAAUGUUAUCACGGGAGACACACGGCGGGUGCUAACGUCCGUCGUGAAGAGGGAAACAACCCAGACCGCCAGCUAAGGUCCCAAAGUCAUGGUUAAGUGGGAAACGAUGUGGGAAGGCACAGACAGCCAGGAUGUUGGCUUAGAAGCAGCCAUCAUUUAAAGAAAGCGUAAUAGCUCACUGGUCGAGUCGGCCUGCGCGGAAGAUGUAACGGGGCUAAACCAUGCACCGAAGCUGCGGCAGCGACACGAUGUGUUGUUGGGUAGGGGAGCGUUCUGUAAGCCUGCGAAGGUGACCUGUGAGGGUUGCUGGAGGUAUCAGAAGUGCGAAUGCUGACAUAAGUAACGAUAAAGCGGGUGAAAAGCCCGCUCGCCGGAAGACCAAGGGUUCCUGUCCAACGUUAAUCGGGGCAGGGUGAGUCGACCCCUAAGGCGAGGCCGAAAGGCGUAGUCGAUGGGAAACAGGUUAAUAUUCCUGUACUUGGUGUUACUGCGAAGGGGGGACGGAGAAGGCUAUGUUAGCCGGGCGACGGUUGUCCCGGUUUAAGCAUGUAGGCUGGUUAUCCAGGCAAAUCCGGAUAAUCAAGGCUGAGGUGUGAUGACGAGGCACUACGGUGCUGAAGUAACAAAUGCCCUGCUUCCAGGAAAAGCCUCUAAGCAUCAGGUAACAUCAAAUCGUACCCCAAACCGACACAGGUGGUCAGGUAGAGAAUACCAAGGCGCUUGAGAGAACUCGGGUGAAGGAACUAGGCAAAAUGGUGCCGUAACUUCGGGAGAAGGCACGCUGGUGUGUAGGUGAAGUCCCUGCGGAUGGAGCUGAGACCAGUCGAAGAUACCAGCUGGCUGCAACUGUUUAUUAAAAACACAGCACUGUGCAAACACGAAAGUGGACGUAUACGGUGUGACGCCUGCCCGGUGCCGGAAGGUUAAUUGAUGGGGUUAUCCGUAAGGAGAAGCUCUUGAUCGAAGCCCCGGUAAACGGCGGCCGUAACUAUAACGGUCCUAAGGUAGCGAAAUUCCUUGUCGGGUAAGUUCCGACCUGCACGAAUGGCGUAAUGAUGGCCAGGCUGUCUCCACCCGAGACUCAGUGAAAUUGAACUCGCUGUGAAGAUGCAGUGUACCCGCGGCAAGACGGAAAGACCCCGUGAACCUUUACUAUAGCUUGACACUGAACAUUGAGCCUUGAUGUGUAGGAUAGGUGGGAGGCUUUGAAGCGUGGACGCCAGUCUGCGUGGAGCCAACCUUGAAAUACCACCCUUUAAUGUUUGAUGUUCUAACGUUGGCCCCUUAUCGGGGUUGCGGACAGUGUCUGGUGGGUAGUUUGACUGGGGCGGUCUCCUCCCAAAGCGUAACGGAGGAGCACGAAGGUUAGCUAAUCCUGGUCGGACAUCAGGAGGUUAGUGCAAUGGCAUAAGCUAGCUUGACUGCGAGCGUGACGGCGCGAGCAGGUGCGAAAGCAGGUCAUAGUGAUCCGGUGGUUCUGAAUGGAAGGGCCAUCGCUCAACGGAUAAAAGGUACUCCGGGGAUAACAGGCUGAUACCGCCCAAGAGUUCAUAUCGACGGCGGUGUUUGGCACCUCGAUGUCGGCUCAUCACAUCCUGGGGCUGAAGUAGGUCCCAAGGGUAUGGCUGUUCGCCAUUUAAAGUGGUACGCGAGCUGGGUUUAGAACGUCGUGAGACAGUUCGGUCCCUAUCUGCCGUGGGCGCUGGAGAAUUGAGGGGGGCUGCUCCUAGUACGAGAGGACCGGAGUGGACGCAUCACUGGUGUUCGGGUUGUCAUGCCAAUGGCACUGCCCGGUAGCUAAAUGCGGAAGAGAUAAGUGCUGAAAGCAUCUAAGCACGAAACUUGCCCCGAGAUGAGUUCUCCCUGAGACUAUAAGUCUCCUGAAGGAACGUUGAAGACGACGACGUUGAUAGGCCGGGUGUGUAAGCGCAGCGAUGCGUUGAGCUAACCGGUACUAAUGAACCGUGAGGCUUAACCUUACAACGCCGAAG
rnacentral:rRNA from 1 species